GCUCCGGUGGCCCAGUGGUUAGAGCGUCAGCCUCGGAUGCGAAAGGUAAGCGGGUUCGAACACCGGCCCGAGUU